rnacentral:rRNA from 1 species
GAUGAACGCUGGCGGCGUGCUUAACACAUGCAAGUCGAACGGAAAGGCUCCUGCUUGCUGGGGUACUCGAGUGGCGAACGGGUGAGUAACACGUGGGUGAUCUGCCCUGCACUUCGGGAUAAGCCUGGGAAACUGGGUCUAAUACCGGAUAGGACGAUGGUUUGGAUGCCAUUGUGGAAAGUUUUUUCGGUGUGGGAUGAGCUCGCGGCCUAUCAGCUUGUUGGUGGGGUAAUGGCCUACCAAGGCGUCGACGGGUAGCCGGCCUGAGAGGGUGUACGGCCACAUUGGGACUGAGAUACGGCCCAGACUCCUACGGGAGGCAGCAGUGGGGAAUAUUGCACAAUGGGCGCAAGCCUGAUGCAGCGACGCCGCGUGGGGGAUGACGGCCUUCGGGUUGUAAACUCCUUUCGCUAGGGACGAAGCGCAAGUGACGGUACCUGGAGAAGAAGCACCGGCUAACUACGUG